rnacentral:rRNA from 1 species
GACGAACGCUGGCGGCGUGCUUAACACAUGCAAGUCGAACGGAAAGGCCUGCUUUCCCUUGUGGAUUGCGGGUACUCGAGUGGCGAACGGGUGAGUAACACGUGAGUGAUCUGCCCCCAACUUGGGUAUAAGCCUGGGAAACUGGGUCUAAUUCCCGAUAGGACUGCAGGGUGGUGCCUGUGGUGGAAAACGAUUUUCUAGUGGUCGGGGAUGAGCUCGCGGCCUAUCAGCUUGUUGGUGGGGUAAUGGCCUACCAAGGCGGCGACGGGUAGCCGGCCUGAGAGGGUGGACGGCCACAUUGGGACUGAGAUACGGCCCAGACUCCUACGGGAGGCAGCAGUGGGGAAUAUUGCGCAAUGGGCGGAAGCCUGAUGCAGCGACGCCGCGUGGGGGAUGACGGCCUUCGGGUUGUAAACUCCUUUCGACCGCGAGGAAGCCACCUGGUUGGAAGGGUGGUGACGGUAGUGGUAGAAGAAGCACCGGCUAACUACGUG